GCUGGAAGUUUGCUUGUGGCUGCGUCCCUAAAAACUGGGGUGGUGUGGCCUUGCUAUUAAACUCCAAGGGACUGAUUCUCACUGGAGCCUGAAAUUCCAUACUGAAUCUUUGGAAUCUUUGCCUGCUACUGAUGCUGCUUUAGCUCAUGUCCAUUUUAACUGCUUUUAUGAUUUAGCAUCAUAUCACCAAAACGCAAGCCACAGUGAUGUCCUGAAGAAUGUUGAUCUGCACUCCUACAGACGGUUGCAGAGUAGGAAAGAAGGUAUUACAAGAUAAGUUUUGGUCUUAACUGAUACAAUUUGGAAAAGGAUGCAUUCUCUAGAUAGGAGCAUGCUAGUGCCAGAGCUAUGAGGACAUAUUUCAAUAAAGAAAUUGUCUGGGAUCGUAGCUGUGUUCAAGAUGGUCUGCUGUCAGAGGCCCCAUUUUUAAGGAUUAAGCUAGUGAAUUUAUUGGCUAUGACAUGGACUAUUGCCCCUGGAUCCUUCAUAUUUGGUACCAAUCCCUGUAAUUCCUUGAGAGAAGCCAUGUUGACUUUGAAUUAGUUGGAGAUAGCAGUAGAAUAGGAUGGUGAGGUGGUUUCAGAGGGUUCUACAUUGGCCCUUUCUGUCCUAAUUUCUCUCAUUCCACAAGCCCAUGAGUCAAUUUGAGUUAACUGCUCGGCAUGUCUAUCUGGACGCUUCACUCAGGGGACUUGGAGAAAAACACAAGAUGGACCCAUGGAAAGGUACUAACACCCCUCAUUUCCAUGCUGAGUUUGCACAUGUGCCGAGUUUCAGAGACGACCUGGAGAGCAGAAGGCACAGAAGCGUGGUUUGCUCACGCGAGGCCACUGCAACCCUAGCUUGGACCUGUCCAGUGCAUUUGCAGCUGAAAUUAGUGCUGUAUUCCUCAGUACAACACUCCCAUUCACUCUCCAGCACUGACUUCCCAGG
rnacentral:lncRNA from 1 species